rnacentral:lncRNA from 1 species
GUUUGAGUAUGGUAUCCCAAAACCACCCGCGACUGUCCAGGAUUUCGAUCGUGCAUAGAUUGAUAUACAGAACAGCUUUCGAUACGUAUACCCAAGUUUUUACAGAAAUUAUUAUAUAAAAGAUAACUAAGACAGGUUUUAGGGGCCGACAGGCCAAACACACUCCCUACAAACAAAAGACCCAAACACAAAAUAGGAUAAAAACACCACAGGCAACGCCUGAGAGCAGAUCGACCUAGAACAAGAACUCGUCAGCACCAUAGAAUUAUUCCCCUUCCUGCGCCUCCUCAGGGAAGAACUGAUCAUCUGAACCACAUUUUAUGCAAGAGGUGAGUACCGAGGUACCCAGCAAGCCACAUCCAUAAUAAUACAAAUAGAAUAUAUGCAAGGCGUACAAAGAAUAUAGUUCAUCAAGGAGGUUUCAUAACAAGCCUAUUAUAAAUAGUUUUUCCCUACUUUAUCAAAUAUUUUAUUCGCAAACAAUUGUAAAUCAUCAUUUUAAAACGGUAGCAAUAUUAAUCACCAUUCAUCCUCAUCUUCAUCAUAUUCCAUAUUUGAAUUUAAAAUCUACUCAUACCAUGAUAAAUAGGAAUCACCCAAUGACAUAGCUUCUUAACCGGAAGCACGACACAUUCGAAUGAUUUAAGACUCAUCUCUGCAGAGACUGCCCAGCUUUACCCACCUGAUGUCAACAACUAGCUAGGCUGAGGACAACAUAGUCGUUCGAGAGUCCCACUUACUACUAGUUACUGCUCAGUAGGAUAUUGAUCCGUCCUAGCAGUCGGGCACUUGCUGGGCCUAAGCAAGGCUAGACGGUCGCUGCUUUCACGGGUUCUGUAAUAUUUGUGAUGAACAAUUGGCUAUGCAAAUGAUUUAAUCGUUGAAUUGGUUUGAAAAUAUGUGUGAAUGUUGGUGUGAGUGCGUGUGACUAAUGUGGGACAGGUUGUGAUAUCUGUGCCCAGAAACGGUUGUUUUGUCUGAUUAUGUGCAGGUGACUUGAGGUCAGCCUUGAUCAAUGGUGAGGACCGGGACUAUGUUCAGGGAGAAACAGAGGUCUAGUGCGGUCGGGAUACCAUGUGAGAAGGUGACUAGAGUCAGGAUUCUUUGAGGUCAACUUCGGUCAACGGUGAGGAUCGGGACUAGACUCAGAGAGGAGUUGAGGUCCAGACGGUCAAGGAUACCGGUUGACGAAGUUGGAUACGAGAUGGCAUACGGUGGAUGGACAUCGUAUGAGGAGAGAUCUUCGCAACGGGCUUCACGAGGUGUGCGUGCAAGCAUCGGUGUUCGCGAAGGAGAUUGGAAGAAACUGGAGAGGAGUAUAUGGUGCUACAGUGCUUUGGGUUACUGUAGUAUGCAUAUGUGUUUGCGUACUGUGGUGAGCAGUAGCAGCAUAUAUGUGUGUGGUGCAUAUGCAUGUCGUUGCAUGCAUGUGUGUGCUGCUUGGGUGAAGCAGCAGCAGGCAGCUCGGCCUGGGAGGAAGCAGCAGGAGCGAGCUGGCCUGGGAUGUGCGCAGGAGAUCGAGACCGGGUGCCAUACGGAGAUGGUGGUGUAUUGACGUCGGAUUGGUUUCCUGCGGCUGCAGUUCGAGAGUUUGGAGGAUUGAGUCCUAGUGUGACUAGGAGUUGUUCUCCUACUUCCUACUUUGAGUAGGAGGUUUUGGGUAUAAAUAGAGAGGGAGGGGUGGCCUCCUGGGAUCGGUUUUAGAGAGACACAAGUUGAGAGAAAGUUAGGGUUUCAAGUUUAGUUCGAGAUUUUGGUGAGGAGUGCUGUUGGUGCACUUUGUAAACACUAGUUGAUGCAAUAAAGUCGAAAAGUUUCAAUCUACAUCUUCGAGUUUGUCAUCUACCGGUGUUUCUGGGUCCCGACGGUCUAACCGGAGGGGUGUGCGCGGUCUGACUAGUGGGAUAGCGGCGGUCUGACCGUAGGUGUUCAAGCGAUCUGACCAGCGAGGUGUUGGCGGUCUGACCGGCGGCAGGAGGGCGGUUCAACCGGCGGCGACUGGACUUCGUCAUCGACUUCGUUCGAGGGUAAUCUUUAAUUCCGCAAAAGAUUUUGGGUUUUUGAUUUUCGCUACCAUUCAUCCCCCCCUCUGGUAGGUUCGUUUGGUCUUGUACGAUCCUACAGGUUCCACCGUUGUGGAUCAUGUCAACCUGGCCAAAGCCCCUUCCACAUGUCCACCCCAAACCUGCUCAUAGAGCCACCCUACAGUCUUUCAUAUAGUGAGACAAUGUACUAGGCUAAGUUUGAUUACUCAGUCCUGUGGAUGGGCGCAAAUUACAUCAUUUUCCAUGGCAUAGGGGUAGUCCUUAUAUCCGG